CUUUCAACUUCUAUUCUAACAAGAAGCAUUAGAAAACUAUUAUGGGAUUGACAACUAUCCCUUGAAGAGUGGGAGUGAAGAAGAUGGGAUAGCCCUGUAAAUAUGCAAUAGCUGGCAUCACGUGCAGGUCUAACCUUGAUUGGUAGCCUACUCAUCCCCCUGAAGAGGCGAUGUGCACAGGGCUUGGAGGCUCUUUGAGCCAAGAACGUACUGUGACUCAGACAUCAACUUUGGCUAUGAACCUUCUGGGGGAGACACACCCUUGACUCUCUAGCCAUGACCUCAUCAGGCCUCUAAAGAAGAAGAUGCCAUGCAGGGAGGAAACUUGGCUUUCUGUUUUUGUUUUUGUUUUUUUCCCAUCCUGUCAGUCUCAUCGUUGGCUGAAGCAACACCUGCUGGAGAGAUGCUGUGUACUCCUGUCACAAUGAAGCCACAACGAUGGACUGCAUCUUUUUACAAGCCCAAUCAAACCUCUCCUCUCCUGGGUUACUUCCUGUCAGGUAACUGAUCACAAGAAGAAGAAAAACAACCAGUACAUCCAGACCAGGGCAGACAAGAGUUGCCGUAGCAAUCCCUGGGGUGUUCACCUGGUAAUAAAGGAAUCUCCACCAGCUACAGUUCACACAGGCUUAGUCAGCUCCCAAGUCCUAACUAGUGCUGGAUCCCCGAUUCUGCGGAGUAUCCCAAGCUCUCAGGUUCCACCCUCAUUCUUCUUCUGUCUACUUCCUUGUUCCAUGGGCCGUGCUUGGAACUAUUGUAGCUAUGGCCUUUGUCCUUCCUGAAAAUGCUGUGGCUCGAUGAGCUACCUGUUCCCUGAACUGUGGAAACAUUUCUGACCCUUGCUGUCUCUGUGGUAACCCCAUUGGGUUUUUCUAUCCCUACCAAAUGGUAGCAUUUCAAGAAACAUUAAAUAUUAGCCCUUUUGUCAAAAGCUGCAAAACUACCACAAGGGACACAAAUGUGUUUAUCUUCCCCACCUUGUGAAACCUUGAUGCAAACGUUUAGCUCCCCAACACCCACUAGGUAAGACUUGUUUACAGAAGGCCCAGUAGUAUUCCCAAACUUAAAUGCCCCCUCUUGCUUCCCUUCAUUUCCUUCUCUUUUAAAAUGAGGCAAUGGAGGAAGACGGUGAGGUCAGACCCAGCCAAUGCGGAAAGGACACAUCAUCCGAGUGACAAUAAAAACCAAACUAAUGGCUUGUCCUCACGUGCUUGCUCUUCCACUGUUGUGAGUAGCACAUGCCUCUCCUCACAGGUACACUUUUGCCUGGUCCAGACACUUUAAUGGGAGCAGCAUUUUCUUCCUCUGUGACCCUGAACUUAGUGCUAACAACAUCAACGAUUGCUUUCUUAAAGACAGAACCGGGGAAAGGCUGCUUGAGUAGAGACAUCUCAAAUGCAGUUUCCAUUGGGUUAGGUACAUGGCUUGUGUCUCACUUCUAUCUUAGUUGGUAUUACAUCUUAGACUCUGAUCAUCAAGCAUAAGGAGAGAAGGAUUAAAAUUAAACACGUGGAGGGCUGGAGUGGUGGCUCAGUCUUGAGUGUUUGCUGGACCUCAGUUCUGUUCCCAGCAUCCAUGUCAGGUAUCCCAUAAUCACUUGUAACUCCAUUCAUCUCCAGAGAUUCUGAUGCCCUUUUCUGGCUUCCACAAGUAUCUCCAAGCACAUGGCAAACUCUCUCUCUCAUAAUAAUAAUAAUAAUAAUAAUAAUAAUAAUAGGACCAGAGAGAUAGAUCAGUGAUAAAAAUGCAUAUUUUGCUCUUGCAAAAGACCCAAGUUCAAUUCCCAGCACUCAACUCUUUCUCCAGGGGAAUCCCACACUACUGGCUUUCAAAGGUGCUUUCUCCUACAUGCAUAAAUCUAUACAGGUUCACAUGCUCACAUUUAAAAACUCAAAAAAAAAACAUUUUAGAAGAUUGUACAUGUAGUCUUAUAAACAAUUAAUACGAUGAACUUGAGCCUGAAAGAACCUCAAGUAAGAAAAAACCCAAACCAAACACAGCUUAGACUCUUGUGUGGCAACUUUGGAAAGAAUUGGGGCUGAUCAGAGUAUAGCAAUGUGAAUGAAAUGUUCCUGAAAGAAGCUGUGUCUUCACAGGCUGAUUUAGGACUUCAGUGGUGUGUAAAAGUUGAACCGUUGCAGGCUCAGAGCAGGAUUAUCUGGGUCCAUCUUUAGCCCCUUUAACAAUUACCUAGUUCCCACCUCUGUAUGCAAUGUUACAUUCCUGUGACUGUCAGGUAAGUCCUUGGAAUGUAUAAGUGGACCCUCACAUCCACCAACAUAAAUGCUAAGAGUGUCGUCAGAGGGCAUCAGAUGCCUAAAGUAGAAACCUCCCCACUCUGCUCUAACCAGUGAAUCUAAAAAGUGUCCUGACUGAUGGCUUUCUUCACUGUGUCUCUAUAAAGUUUCAUGAAACCGUUACCAUGUUGGACUGGAAUUUGGGGUACCCUAAAGCUGUUCCAGGCCAUGGUCACUCAUAUUUGACUCUGGAAUAAAUGG